rnacentral:tRNA from 1 species
GCUCCAGUAGCUCAAAGUUUGGUGAGAGCGCACCCCUUAUAAGGGUGAGGUUGUAGGUUCGACUCCCACCUGGAGUACCA